UACGGGGGGAGCAAGCGGUUGUUCGGAUUUACUGGGCGUAAAGGGCGCGUAGGCGGCCACGACAAGUCAGUUGUGAAAUCUCUGGGCUUAACUCAGAACGGUCAACUGAUACUGUCGGGCUAGAGUGCAGAAGGGGCAACUGGAAUUCUCGGUGUAGCGGUGAAAUGCGUAGAUAUCGAGAGGAACACCUGCGGCGAAGGCGGGUUGCUGGGCUGACACUGACGCUGAGGCGCGAAAGCUAGGGGAGCGAACGGG
rnacentral:rRNA from 1 species